rnacentral:lncRNA from 10 species
GUCAGGGAGAACAUAUUUUGCUGCAAAGAGGAAAGUGAAGAGAAGAAUAAACGACUAUAGAGAAGCUUGGAUGAGAGAGAAUUGUAAAGUAGAAGACUAGGAGUUGAAAAAUUAUUGCUUUGAGUUGUGCAGAGGAAUCCAAGGUGUAGGGAAUGAAAGAGCCACAAGAUGUAAGAAACCUCAGUUCCUCAAUGUAGACAUGGAAGAAAGCUUCCGGGAGCAGGCUCACUGGAUUUGGUCACAUAAUGAUCACAGAAUAAACUCUUGUGAAUCAGUGAAACUACAAAUGGUACUGCAGAUGGAACCUCGGAUGACUUCAACCAGCACCUAUUAUCAAGGACCCCUAGACUAGCCUGCCAGCCCAUACCCAGAUAUUGACACCCAAACCACCUCUCAUGAGGAAACCUCAGCUGCAGGGACCCUUCUAUGCCCCUACUCAGCAGGAAGCAGUUUCAGCGGUCAUCGUCCCACACCCAACAGCAGUUGGGCUCUCCUGUUGAGAGGGGAGACUGAGGGGUAGAGUUGGUGGGACUUCCUGGGCCGAUUGAAGGACUUUUGCAAAAGACCCCUGUGACUCAGGGUUUUGAGUUCUUAACCAUUCGAGUGAAGGAUUCAAAAUUAACCACUCUGAGGGAAGAUUGAAAAAAGAACCACUCUCAAUGGGCAAAAAGAAAGAAAGGGGAGGGGGUAACAUAGGGAUAUAAGCCCUAGCCAUCCGAGCCAGCAACAGCAACCCUUCUGGGUCCCCAUCCACCACGUGGAAGCUUUCCCUUCACUUUGUUCAAUAAACUGCACUGUUCCUCACUCUCCUGGUCCAUGGACUCUUUUUGGACUGUUAACACUCACCACGAAAGUCUGCAGCUUCAUUCUUCAAAGUUAGCAAGACCACUAAUGCAUCAGCAGGAAAAACUCCUGACUGAAUAUGACCCAACAAUUCCAUACCUAAGUAUAUAGCCAAGGGAAAUGAAUUCAUAUAUCUU